GACGCGCCCACAGCCGCUCUUGAGGCUCUGGCGCUUCUUCUUCUAGGCUCCGAGCGGUUGGUUUCUUGGGCCCUGUCUGUAGGCCCCGGCCGCCCCUGGCGUUCAACACCGCUUCCAGGUGCCGGCCUUGUCUGCCAUGGACGACUAUGCGGUUUUGUCCGAUACUGAGCUGGCCGCAGUGCUACGCCAGUACAACAUCCCUCAUGGGCCUAUUGUGGGUUCCACUCGCAAGCUCUACGAAAAGAAAAUCUUCGAGUACGAGACCCAGAGAAGGAGACUCUUACCCCCCAACUCGUCAUCUUCUUCAUUCUCCUAUCAGUUCUCAGACUUGGAUUCAGCCGCCGUGGACUCAGACAUGUAUGAUCUGCCCAAAAAAGAAGACGCCUUACUUUACCAGAGCAAGGGUAAGGCAGGUAUAGGGUGGGCACUGAUGUUUUUAUCCCAUGCUUCCGGGAUUUGGGCACAGGGAAACCCCAGACCUCCCUCACCUCCUUGUACCAGUUCUCAGUGGCUUCAGAGGGGAGAAACUGACACAGCACACACAGGCUGGGGAGGGAGAAGAGGAGGCCAGUUAAGGGGCACCACUUUUUCCUCUACCACUGUUUUCCUCCCCAAGACUAUAAUGAUGACUACUAUGAGGAGAGUUAUUUGACCACCAAGACAUACGGGGAGCCUGAGUCUGUGGGCAUGUCCAAGAGCUUCCGCCAGCCGGGGACCUCACUUGUAGAUGCUGAUACCUUCCAUCACCAGGUGCGUGAUGACAUUUUCUCUUCUUUAGAAGAGGAAGGCAAGGAUAGGUGAGUAGUGAACAUAUGUAGGGACAGGGACAAAUUCGAGUCUCAGACUCUCCUGCCUACCUGUUGCCUUCUUUUGCCACAGGGAGCGCCUCAUCUAUGGCCAAGACAGUGCCUACCAGAGCAUCGCACACUACCGCCCCAUUUCCAAUGUCUCCAGGAGCUCUCUGGGCUUAUCAUAUUAUCCUACAUCCUCCACCUCUUCUGUGUCCUCCUCUUCAUCUUCUCCCUCUUCAUGGCUUACCCGACGUGCCAUUCGGCCAGAGAAGCAGGCCCCUGCUGCUGCUCUGGGCCAGGAUCGACAGGUCCCACUCUGGGGCCAGCUGUUACUCUUCCUGGUCUUUGCUGCCUUUCUGCUCUUUGUUUACUAUUCCAUACAAGCUGAAGAAGGCAACCCCUUCUGGAUGGAUCCCUAAGGGUAUUGGUUUUAGAGCAGCUCUUACCAGGAGUUUUGGCUGAUUGCCUUAUCGGUGUUUGCUGGGGGUGGGGAGGGUAGGGGCUUUUUUGUGUGUUCUAGUUGGGUGCAAGGUCUAGCCUAAGGCAAUGCUUGUCUCCCACCUCAUCCUGCCAAGGAAGCAGCAAAUGUUGGCCUUCUACAGCCCAGUAGGCCUACCUGUACCUUCCUCUGGAGCCUCCUAGCCCUAUUGCCUCUGACCCUUAGGGUACCGGGGUCUGGUGGGAGGACCUCACUUCAUUAGAGGAAAACUUGGUGGUGGCAGUGGUAGUUGUCAUGCAUGCCUGUUUGUUGUCACCUUUUCAGGGGGUAUUAACAAAGACCACCCUGGCUUUGCUUUCAUGGACACAAUAAUAAACAUGUUUAUUUUUA